rnacentral:rRNA from 1 species
GAUCCUGGCUCAGGAUGAACGCUAGCUACAGGCUUAACACAUGCAAGUCGAGGGGCAGCAUGAUUGAAGCUUGCUUCAAUUGAUGGCGACCGGCGCACGGGUGAGUAACACGUAUCCAACCUGCCGAUAACUCGGGGAUAGCCUUUCGAAAGAAAGAUUAAUACCCGAUAGUAUAGUAUUUCCGCAUGGUUUCACUAUUAAAAGAAUUUCGGUUAUCGAUGGGGAUGCGUUCCAUUAGAUAG